rnacentral:misc_RNA from 1 species
GAUGAAGAACGUAGCGAAAUGCGAUACUUGGUGUGAAUUGCAGAAUCCCGUGAACCAUCGAGUCUUUGAACGCAAGUUGUGCCCGAAGCCAUUAGGCCGAGGGCACGCCUGCCUGGGCGUCACACGUCGUUGCCCCCCCAUCUACUCCUUCGGGAUUGCGGGGGGCGGAUGAUGGCCUCCCGUGCGCCUCGUCGCGCGGUUGGCAUAAAUGCCAAGUCCUCGGCGACGCACGCCACGACAAUCGGUGGUUGCGAAACCUCGGUUGCCCGUCGUGUGCGGUCGUCGCGCAUCGAGGGCUAGAAAAAAUUGCCGGGCUCCGGCUCGGCUUUCAACGCGACCCCAGGUCAGGCGGGGUUACCCGCUGAAUUUAAGCAUAUCAAUAAGCGGAGGA